GCUAAUUGUGAAGCUGGAGAGCUGUUAAAAUCAGACCAGAUUUGUUAAAGGAGAGGAGUAAGAUGAUACUUCAGACCAGUAUCUGCAGUGGCACAGGCACAAAAGCCCUAUCUCAGGAGAAGGAAUGAAAGGAAGGCAAAAAGGCCGUGAGAAAAUGAAAGAAGCUGGUUGAUUGACCCCUCCUCUGUGUCGCCUCAGCAACUUGUCCAUAUCAUUGUUACAGCACUUACCACACAGUUGUAAGACGGUACUGCAAGCUUACUUUCCAACGUG
rnacentral:lncRNA from 1 species